GGGAGGAAGCCCCGGCUAACUACGUGCCAGCAGCCGCGGUAAUACGUAGGGGGCUAGCGUUAUCCGGAUUUACUGGGCGUAAAGGGUGCGUAGGCGGUCUUUCAAGUCAGGAGUGAAAGGCUACGGCUCAACCGUAGUAAGCUCUUGAAACUGGGAGACUUGAGUGCAGGAGAGGAGAGUGGAAUUCCUAGUGUAGCGGUGAAAUGCGUAGAUAUUAGGAGGAACACCAGUUGCGAAGGCGGCUCUCUGGACUGUAACUGACGCUGAGGCACGAAAGCGUGGGGAGCAAACAGGAUUAGAUACCCUGGUAGUCCACGCUGUAAACGAUGA
rnacentral:rRNA from 1 species